GAACUGGUGGCUCAGAGGUUAAAGUGUCUGCCUGCAAUGCAGGAGAUCUGGUUCA
rnacentral:tRNA from 1 species